UGCUUCUUCUUCUUUUUCAUCCUCUUUCGGAACUAUUAUUUCCUCCAACAUAUGGCAUCUCCUUAUGUCUAGUUCUUGGAGUUGUACAAGACACUUAGCCACGGCAACUGAUAAUAUGUUUCUCAAACUGUUGCAACCACGGACAUUUAGCUUUCUCAGCUUCUGAAAGCCAAUGACAUUUUUUGGAAUUUUGUUGAAUAUGUGCACAAGUUUUGGUAGGUUUGAUAGCCAGACUUCUUCAAG
rnacentral:misc_RNA from 1 species